CUCUUGGUGUUCAAACCUGCUAUGAGGGAGCAAGAGGCAAUAAAGGAAGUUGAACACUGAGGAAGUGUUUCAAACUGUGUUGUUUUCCCUGCUAUAUCAAACAUUCAGUGGGCACACCCCCAACACUGUUCUCCAUGUCCAAAAAAAGAGCGUUUUUGGAUGAGUAGCUCUCGUGAACCAAAAAAUUAAACCAAUGAUCCAGAACCAGCUUCAUAAGACAGGUGAGACUUUCUAGUUUGGUGCUUUUCUAUGUGAGGAAGAGCAUGGAGAUUUUACAUCGAAACACAAGAUU
rnacentral:lncRNA from 1 species